ACAAAACCAACGUAACUCCCUGCCACUCUUAUUCAAUUUCUACAUACAAAUCCCUUCUUUAACUGCAUGAACUCGGCCCUCUUUCAUCUACUAUUCUGAACAACCCCUAUUUUCUAAAUCCUUUCCUUAUUCACUAUUUUGUGUUUGAUUGCAAAUUUGUUUCGGAAGAAUAAGGUGUUGAUAAUCUCUGUCUAUUGUGAUUUUGUUGUUUUGGGAUCAGCGCCAUUCGUGUGAAAUCGCCAAAGAAAUUCUCAAAAUUGCCGAAAUCACGAUUGUCUAGGCAAAUUCGUAUCAUAAUGAAGACCGAAAGGAACCCUAAAUUGCUCCAUUUGCGCCUCUCUCAACGGCAAAGAGAAGAUCGUUUCCUUUAGGCGCCACUGGCUUCGGAAAAAAGAAAGCACCAGGCUUAGAACGACCCACCUUAGCAGUCAAAGGUUCUGUACCCUAGGUAGAGGUGAUGUAGAAUAAGAACGAACCUUUAACGCACCUAUGAACUACAAAAGCACGAACCUCUCAUCACUUAUCAUGGUCACAUUUUUAACAUUAUUUUCAAAAUGAGUGGAGAAAAGUUGUUGCCCUUUCAAAAAUAGCGAAAGAAUCAUUUGGUUUGAAUGAGUCCCCAAAAGCUUGAAUAGCAUGAGAGUCGGUGAAAGAGCCAACAAAGAGAUCCUCUUGCACUCAACAACUUCGAGGUAUCAUGCCAAAGGAUAAUUUUAAGAAGAAAAAUAUUAGGCGAUUAAGUAGAGUAUCUUUUAUCAAUAAUAGAUAGGUGAGGUCUAUGGUGGUCUAACAAUAAGUGACUAAAU